UAAUACGGAGGGAGCUAGCGUUGUUCGGAAUUACUGGGCGUAAAGAGCAUGUAGGCGGUUUAGUAAGUUGGAAGUGAAAGCCCAGGGCUCAACCCUGGAACUGCUUUCGAAACUGCUAAACUAGAGUUCGAUAGGGGGUGGUGGAAUUCCUAGUGUAGAGGUGAAAUUCUUAGAUAUUAGGAGGAACACCGGUGGCGAAGGCGGCCAUCUGGAUCGAUACUGACGCUGAGAUGCGAAAGCGUGGGGAGCAAACAGGAUUAGAUACCCUGGUAGUCCACGCCGUAAACGAUGAGUGCUAGAUAUCAGAGAAAUCUUUGGUGUCGGAGCUAACGCAUUAAGCACUCCGCCUGGGGAGUACGGUCGCAAGAUUA
rnacentral:rRNA from 1 species